UACAGAGGUCUCGAGCGUUAGGCGGAAUCACUGGGCUUAAAGCGUGUGUAGGUGGAUCGUUAAGUACCUUGUGAAAUCCCACGGCUUAACCGUGGAACUGCUUGGUAUACUGGCGGUCUUGAGCCAGCUAGGGGCUACCGGAACAAACGGUGGAGCGGUGAAAUGCGUAGAUAUCGUUUGGAACGCCUGUGGUGAAAACGGGUCGCUGGGGCUGUGCUGACGCUGAGACACGAAAGCCAGGGGAGCAAACGGG
rnacentral:rRNA from 1 species